CAAUAGCGUAUAUUAAAGUUGUUGCAGUUAAAAAGCUCGUAGUUGGAUUUCUGGUGGGAGCGACCGGUCGGCGCUUAACGGCGUGUGCACUGGAGUUGUCUCUUGCCAUCCUUGAGGAGAACGUGUCUGGCAUUAAGUUGUCGGGCUUGGGAUCCUCAUCGUUUACUGUGAAAAAAUUAGAGUGUUUAAAGCAGGCAUUUGCUGUGAAUACAUUAGCAUGGAAUAAUAAGAUAGGACUUUGGUGCUAUUUUGUUGGUUUGCGUACCAAGGUAAUGAUUAAUAGGGAUAGUUGGGGGUAUUCGUAUUCAAUUGUCAGAGGUGAAAUUCUUGGAUUUAUGGAAGACGAACAACUGCGAANGNAUUUACNAAGGAUGUUUNCAUUA
rnacentral:rRNA from 1 species